rnacentral:rRNA from 1 species
AGCGAACGCUGGCGGCAGGCCUAACACAUGCAAGUCGAACGAACUCUUCGGAGUUAGUGGCGGACGGGUGAGUAACACGUGGGAACGUGCCUUUUGGUUCGGAAUAACUCAGGGAAACUUGUGCUAAUACCGAAUGUGCCCUUCGGGGGAAAGAUUUAUCGCCAUUAGAGCGGCCCGCGUCUGAUUAGCUAGUUGGUGAGGUAACGGCUCACCAAGGCGACGAUCAGUAGCUGGUCUGAGAGGAUGACCAGCCACACUGGGACUGAGACACGGCCCAGACUCCAACGGGAGGCAGCAGUGGGGAAUCUUGCGCAAUGGGCGAAAGCCUGACGCAGCCAUGCCGCGUGAAUGAUGAAGGUCUUAGGAUUGUAAAAUUCUUUCACCGGGGACGAUAAUGACGGUACCCGGAGAAGAAGCCCCGGCUAACUUCGUG